CAUCAUUCCUAGAAUUUUGAAACAUCGCAUUUACUUGUUCAAGUUCGUGCGAAGGUUGGGUGCCGGGAUUUUGAAAAGUGUAAUUAGCGAGCAUCGACAUUUGUGGGGGAGAUUUACUAGUUUCUAAAGCUUCAAGUCUCCUAGUUAGGGUGGCUAGUUUGGCAUCGGUUGCCACAUUAUUUCCUAUCGAAUGCAAGCCCCUAGCGCU
rnacentral:lncRNA from 1 species